rnacentral:rRNA from 1 species
CAGCAGCCACGGUAAUACGGAGGGGGCUAGCGUUGUUCGGAAUUACUGGGCGUAAAGCGCACGUAGGCUGCUUUGUAAGUCAGAGGUGAAAGCCCGGGGCUCAACCCCGGAUGUGCCUUUGAGACUGCAGGGCUAGAACGACGGAGAGGUGAGUGGAAUUCCGAGUGUAGAGGUGAAAUUCGUAGAUAUUCGGAAGAACACCAGUGGCGAAGGCGGCUCACUGGACGACUGUUGACGCUGAGGUGCGAAAGCGUGGGGAGCAAACAGGAUUAGAUACCCGAGUAGUCCCUGUCUCUUAUAC